rnacentral:lncRNA from 1 species
GUACACAUACAUAUAUAUAUAUAUAUAUAUAUUUACAGUAAUAAUUCAUUGACAAAAAAAAAAAAAAUAAAAUAAAUAAAUAACAGAGAUUGAUGUGUGUCAUUUAUUCAUAUUAAUUAAUUAAAUUAUAUAUUAUAUGUUAUAUAUUCGAUAAAAUAUAUUAUAAGAAUUUUUUUUUUAUUAUAUGUGAAUAUAUAACAAAAAACUAGCAAUAAUAAUAACAUUGUUAUUACGUUAAUAAAUUUACAUAUAUAUAUAUAUAUAUAUAUAUAUACAUAUGUGCGCAAAAAAAAAAAAAAAAAAAUUUGAAUAGUUAACAUAAUGUAAAAAAUGGAGGAAAAAUUUAUACAAGCGCAAAUAACUUUGUUGUUUUAUUUUAUGCUUUUAUGCUAUUUCAAGAAUUUCACAUUUAGAUUGAUAGAUAUGCCAAGAAAAAUAUAUAAAUGCUUAAAAGUAUACUAUUCCUUUUUAAUAAUUGUUACCGCCGUUGUUUUCUUUAGUAAGUUGUUUUUUUUAGUACGUAUGUUUAUUGUACAGGUUUUGAAUAAAAUUGUUGAUACAUUAUCAAUUAAACACAAAAUAAAAAAAAAAAAAACAAAUAAGUGUAUUAAUCUUAAUAACAAAAAAGCUAUUUUAAAAAAUGCUGCAAAAAAAAGAGUAUCACAAGUUAUGGAUGUUAACAAAAAUGAGAGAAAAAACGAGGUAAUCAAAAAAACGUAUUUGUUGAAUAAUACAAUAAAUGAUUUUUAUUCGAAUGGAUUUAUAGAUAAUGGUAUUAUGAAUAAUGACUCAACUGGUACUGUUGAUGUUGUUAGUGGUAGUACCAGUGGUAGUACCAGGGAUAGCACUUACGAUAAUACUUAUGAUAGUGCCAGUGGUAAUACUAGUGGUAGUGCCAGUGGUAGUGCCAAUGGUAGUGCCAGUGGUAGUACCAGGGAUAGCACUUACGAUAAUACUUAUGAUAGUGCCACUGGUAGUGCCAGGGGUAGUGCUUAUGAUAGUACAAGCGACGUUCCCAGUGAUGGUGGUAUUAAUGUUAAAUAUAAUUUAAUAAAAUUUUUAAAAAUAACAAAAAUGGCCAAACAAAAAGAGAAUGACAAUAUUUUUAAUGAAUCAUUUUCCGAAACACAUAAAAAAAAAAAUUAUACUAUUUUGAAAAAAAAAACAUGUAUAAAUUUGGAAAAAAAAAAUAACAAUAUGAUGCAUGACACUUGUAAACAUAACAACUCGAGUUCUAUUGGUAGCGAAUACAUGACACAAAUAAAACAUCGUGGUCAAGAUGGAAAUGAAAUAUACAACAACAAUAAUAAUAAUAAUAAUAAUAAUAAUAAAGAUAAUAAUAAUAAAGAUAAUAAUAAUGUAUGUAAUAUAAAUGAUGCUUAUAAAAAAGAAAAUAUAAUUGACGGUGGUACUGUACAUGAUUUUGGUUGUACAUAUGACUGUUCUUCUGCAUAUGACAGUACAACUUCCUAUGACAGUACAACUUCCUGUGACAGUACAACUUCCUGUGACAGUACAACUUCCUGUGACAGUACAACUUCCUAUGAUAGUACAACUUCAUACGGUAGUGCAACUUCAUACGGUAGUGCAACUUCAUACGGUAGUGCAACUUCAUACGGUAGUGCAACUUCUUAUUAUGACGCCAUUAUGUAUAAUAGUUCCAUUUCAUGUGACAGUACAAACAUACUCGAAAUAAAUAAAGACCUAUUUUUUAAUAAUAUUUUAUAUAAAAUGAAAGACAUGAAUAUGCCUUCUGUUUUUGAGUAUAUAAUACGUAAUUCUAAAAAUUAUAUAAAAGGGCAUAAUUUAAUCAAAAAAAUGAAGAACUGUGAAAGUAAUGUUAAGGAUAGUUACACAAUUAAUAACGUACAACAUGAUAAAUUAAAAAAGAAUGGAAUAAUAUAUGAUGAUAUUAAUAAUAAUAAUAAUAAUGGCCCUGUUAAUAGCUCUGUCAUGUCGAAAGAAAAAAUAAAUUAUAAAUGCGAUUUGGGAGAGGGUGAAAAUAAUAACAAACAUGUAACAAAAGAAUCAACACGUUUUAAUAAUGAUUUUAAUAAUUUAAUUAAUAAUAAAAAUAAAGUAAUAAAAAAAAAUAACACAUUUAAUACUAUGACAGAAACAAAAACUGUAUUAAAAUCUAUUUUAAAGAAACCGAAAUCAGCAGAAGUUGAUAAUACAAAUGAAGAUAAACAAAUAAAGAUAAAACAUAAAAAUACAAAACAUGUACAAUUCAGUACAAAUAUAAAUACAUAUUAUUUUGAAAAAUAUAAUUAUGAAGAUAAUAUAUAUGGAUUAAAUAAUAUUAUUAUUGGUAAUAAACAUAAUUAUAAUAGAAAUAGUAAUAUUAAAAGAGAGAGUUUAUAUAAAGUACUUGAAUACGGUAUAAAUAAAAACGAUUUGUUUAGUUAUGAUGCAAUGCGAUAUAAUUUUAAUUCUUUACUAAAAAAAAUUGUUACUUUUGUUUAUGUCUAUAAAGAUUAAAUUGUCAAAUCCGACCGUACUUGACUAACUAAUGUUAUACUUUUUAAACAUGUGUAUAUACGUGCAUAUAUAUAUAUAUAUAUAUAUGUAUAUAUAUAUGUAUAUAUAUACCCCGUUAAACCUUAUUAAAUUCUAGUUUUGUACUCUCAAAUCUUAUUUAAUUAUAGUUUUCUUUUUUUUUUAAGUGUACGCAUAAAAUACGUUAUAAAAACACCUACAUAGUUAGGCUAAUUAGUUGUUGGCACAUAUGAAUUUUAUUUACUUUAAAUAAUAUGCUUAACAAAUUAUGACAUGAUUAGAGUUAUAUAUAUAUAUAUGUAUAUAUAACCAAAUAAUUUAAAAAAUUGUGUAUAAUUCAAAAUAGAAAAAAAGAAAAAAAAGAAAAAAAAAGUAGUACAUACAUACAAUAUACACAAUUGAUGGACACAAAACGAUGAUCAACUUUAUAUAUAAAUGUUUUUUUACUUGAUAAUAUUUUAUUAUUUUACUAUUUUUUUUAAAUAAUUUACUUUAUAGUAUUAUUUAUUUAUCUUUUUAUUUAUAUUAGCUAUAUUAGUUAUAUUAACUGUUCUAGUUGUAUAAACUAUUUUGGUUAUAUUAGCUAUUCUAGUUAUAUUGCUAAAUAGCUAUAUUUGUUAUACUAAUGUAUGUAUAAUUAUAUCAUUUAAAUUUUUAUUAUUAUUUCCAGAUUUUUUUUAUAGUUCCU